AGAACGAACGCUUGCGGCGCGCCUAAUACAUGCAAGUCGAGCGAGAAAGUCCUUCGGGAUGAGUACAGCGGCGGACGGGUGAGGAAUACGUAGAUAAUCUGCCUUAAAGAGGGGGAGUGACUACUCGAAAGAGUAGCUAAUACCGCAUAAGACCACAGGGGCUUCGGCUCUAGGGGUUAAAGGAGCAAUCCACUUUAAGAUGAGUCUGCGCCCGAUUAGCUAGUUGGUAAGGUAAUGGCUUACCAAGGCUACGAUCGGUAAC
rnacentral:rRNA from 1 species